rnacentral:rRNA from 1 species
UACGGAGGGCGCUAGCGUUGUUCGGAAUUACUGGGCGUAAAGCGUACGUAGGCGGCCUUGUAAGUUAGAGGUGAAAGCCCAGAGCUCAACUCUGGAAUUGCCUUUAAGACUGCAUCGCUUGAAUCGUGGAGAGGUUAGUGGAAUUCCGAGUGUAGAGGUGAAAUUCGUAGAUAUUCGGAAGAACACCAGUGGCGAAGGCGACUAACUGGACACGUAUUGACGCUGAGGUACGAAAGCGUGGUGAGCAAACAGG